GUGUAUUAGUUUAAAAAAAUUGCACAUAGAUUUGUGUUGUGGAUUUUUUAGUCGAUACAAUAAAUAAUUCUUCAAUAAAAUAAAGUGAAAUGUGUUUGAUUUUUGAUAUCAAUAUGGCAAAAUAAUUGUAUCCUUAUAGAGUAUUCUCCGUUUUAUUUAGCUCACUGAGCAUGGAUGUAUUAAUCCGAAAAAUAAAAUAUUUUUCGUAGUGAUGACAUUAAAGAAAAUCGUGAAAAUGUCAACAAAAUCCCAGUUAUCCUCAGAAUUAAACGAGAGCAUCAGCAAUGUUCUAGGGAAAAAUGUUAGAAUUCUUUACAAAUCACUUAUUCGUAUGGAAUCCAGAGGAGAUAAAGUUGAUAAUCGAGUUUUGGUUGUGACAUCAUUUAGAGUUUUUAUCACUACAACAAAAGUGCCAACAAGGAUCGACAAUGGAUUUCACUUGAUGGAGAUAGAGGCUCUUGAGAGCAAAAAAGCGAAUCAUUUGUCAAUAACGCUAAUCCACGAGCACAAGCCUGUGUCUAUACUAAUAGGCGAGGAGGGGUCACUGGAAGGCGUUAUAAAUGCCAUUCACGCGCUGAUUGCCGCGUUUGAUGACUUAUUUCCUAACGUAGCUAUGGAGGACAUUGUGUCCAAGGUCCAUUUACCAUUCCAACUCCAGUCAGUUAGCGGUACGAGAAAACAUUCCACUUGUGGCGACUUUUCCAAUCAAUACGCUGCCAUGUGUGAUCUUUAUCAAACACCUUUCAGAGCUGAAGUCGCAUGGGAUAUUGAUACAAUUUAUUUGGCGCACGACAUUAGGAUGCUGCAUUUAAAAGACUUUGACCACUUGGACCAAAGGGAUCUAAUCCCACUGGUGAUGGCCUUGCAACACAACACAUGGUUCAACGGCGUCUGUGGUGACGGCGUACGUGUCGGUGGCGAAGCUUGGGAGGCCGUUGCGCGACUGUUGCGCUCCGCCGCACCGCCGCCGAGGCAACUUAGUUGGCGAGCCGCAACAUUGAGACACGAUCACGCAGCUAAAUUAGGACAUGCGUUAGUGCGAGCGAGACAUCCACCAGCGAUGCACACGAUAGAUUUGUCGCAGAACCACAUCGAAGACAAAGGUGCCAUGAGCAUACUAACCGGGCUGGGAAACAAUCCGGAUGGUUUGCGACACAUCGCGUUAUCCCAGUGCGGGCUGACGGGCAAGACUGUCUCGCACCUCGCUGUGAUGCUUAACGAUAGUCCUUGCCACCUCUCCACACUGUCGCAUUUAGAUCUGUCACACAAUAACCUUAAGGACGACGUUCAUAAUCUAUACAAUUUCCUUGCGCAGCCGAACGUUUUGACACAUUUGAACUUGAUCAACACAGAGACAACUUUAGAAAACAUGUGGGGCGCGUUACUGCGAGGUUGUGCGGCGCGGCUCUCUACAUUGCUGGUGGGACGAAACCCGUGGUCACCAGCGCGACGGCCUAAAGACCCCCCGCCAUCAUUCCGACAAUUCUUCACCGCCUGCCUCGCCCUUGCAGAUCUGGACUUCUCAUACUGUAAAAUGCCACCGGAUGCACUCAAGAGCCUGCUGUUAGGACUGGCAUGUAAUGAAAGCGCAGCGGGUGUUAAGCUCAAUUUAGCAGGCGUAUUAUCAUCUUCACAAGCGGCACACGUGUUAGAAUCCUGCAUACACGGCGUGCGAUGUUUACAAUCUUUGGACCUUUCCGAUAAUAGUAUGGAAUUUGAAUUAUCCGGCAUAGUGAGAGCAAUAGGAAAAAAUCAUUCAAUAACACAUUUAUCACUAAGUAAAUUGAUUGGUAAAAGGUCUUAUGCACCGCCAUUAAUACAGGCUUUGGUCCACGUUUUACAGGAACCCGACACAGCUUUGACUUCAUUAGACCUUAGUGAUUGUAAAUUAAAGAGUGAUUUGUACGGACUUCUAAACGCACUAGGCGGAGCACGCAGGUUGCGUACGUUAGACGUGGGAGGGAACUUGGCGGGCGAUGCAGGCGCGCGUUUGCUAGCCAAGGCUUUACAAUGCAAUUGCACCUUACACACACUGUAUAUAGACAGAAACGCGUUCAGUUUGCAAGGUUUGACGGAUAUAGCAACGGCGCUCAGAAGGUCAGUGAGCGUCCGGCGAGUGGAGUUUCCUGGUUGCGAUGCGGCUGCGGGCGGUCGGGGGGCAUCAGAGAGGGUUGCAACCCUUUGGAGGGAGCUACAUGAAAGGUUGGCGAGCAACAGUAGCACGGGUCAGUGCGGGCGAGUGCGCGCACUGGCGUUAGAGCGCGCGUGGGCAGGUGGGGAAACCGCAGCGGCGCUUGCGGCCCAAGCGGCUGCCGCUCUCCCCCCGCCGCCACUGCCCGCCGCCACAGAGCGCGCUGCCGCCGCUGCGCAUCACUUACUACACCAGUACUUGCAGAGGUGCAGUGAAGUGUUCGCGGCUAUGGGCGGCAGCGGCGGUGGCAGCGAACUAGUCACGCUGCAGGCCGUACGCGAUGCCAUGGCGCCGUGCAACACGACGCUGCAAGACUUACUCAAUGAAGCAGUAGAGCGGCUAGCGUUGUCUGCGUGCGAGAGCGUAGAGGCCGAUAGCGACCGCGGCCCGCUCGUCGAUCCCGAUAUGCCGGACUUGCUCUCGCCAAUAUCACAUUCAGGGGCGACGCCGCUCGGUUGUCGGCGACGCGAGCGCGGUAGACGCGUGCGACCGAAGUCCGUAGCGGAACAGCAACAGUGCAGUAGUAACGAAAUGCUCUCACUACCACCCCUACACGGCGAAGCAGCCGACGCUUUGGCUGAACUACCCGCCCAUACCUUGCGGCAUCUUGUUAAAGGUAGGCCAAGAAGAGUAAAAACGAGAGCGCCGACACGACCAGUCACAGAUCAGUCUCAAGAGAUAGACGAAGGUCUGGAUGAGUUCUGGCGAACUUGCCGUACUCCGCCAGGCAGUGAAGAGGCGUCGUCACUCUCUGCGCGCACUCCGCUCACUUCGCGCUCCCUACACUCUCUUUCCUCACUCGCCUCAGCGUCGCCCGCCUCUCCGGCUUCGCCUUCACCCGCCCGACAUUCGCCGACGCUUCGCAGGGACGAUACCAUGUAUAGCGUGACGUCGGGCGAGAGUACGCCCGUACUUUUAGAAUGCGAAGUUUCUCGAUGCAAGUCUUCCGACAACGUGGGCUUUAAAGUGGCGCCAAACACUCCGCCACCUUCUCGCUCGUCAGACAACGUUAACACCAUGGGCAACGGGUGCGUGCGCGCGGGCGGCAAGGCGCGGCCGUGGUCUGUCGCCGGCGUCAACGCGGACAACGCGGCGCUCUGCACCACAGAGGGCGUGGAGGCGUGCGUGGGCGGCAGCAUCGUGGGCAUCACCCCCGGCGCCGCACUAACCAGUAACAUUUCACACGCUAUACUUUACUGAACUACACGUCAUAUGUUAUGUGUCGUCCGCUUAUUAGGCUCAAUGAUGCGGGAUCAUCCAUUAACACCUGAGGACACAGAUGCCUAAGUUAAGCGCAAGCAAAUGUGGUUGCGCGAACGUGAUACGCUGAGCAGGGUUACACGGACUUUAUCUCCGAUGCUCACUAUUGUGCCAGUUAGACUAACCGUAGACAGUAGAUUAUCUUACCUACGCGUCUUUACCUAUUUUGAUCAGUCUCACAGAUAGUCUUCUAUUGACAAGUAGUUUUUUAUUUGACUUAGCAAUUUAUAGUCUCGAGAAUAAUUAUUAUUAUAACUUUAAAAAGUAUGACAGGAUACUCACUAAAUAUCAGUUCAACCUCUGUUAGUUCAGUCUUAAUAAAAAUAUUAUAAUGUUAUAAAAUAAUGUAGGACAGGAUUUUCAAAUCAUACAUUUUAAUUCAUUCGCUUAUAGCUCAUGACCAACGUUACCAAUCUCGUCCUCCCAUUCAUAUGUUAUCCGCUAUGGUUUAUUAACCUUUAGUUGACCGAAGCUCAUACCUACCUAAUUUUAGUCAGAGGGCCAUAUAUUAAAAAGUUGAAAAUAUAUUUUUAACACUCGACUCAAAUUAAAUGAAGUCAUAGAUUUUAUUUUAUAGAAGCAAUUACUAAAACACGUGGCGUGUGGUGUGAUUAUUGGUCUUAUGAAAUACUGUUUUGACUUUAUUCGAAUCGCGUUCUUAAAGCGAAUGAAAUGUUAAUAUGCAGUUUACUUUAAUGAAGGGUACGUUUUGACUAAGCGUAGAGAUGUGUAGGACUACACCAAUCAUAUUGUUGAAAAAUAAUGUGAUAAAAUAUUAGUUUCUUUAUCCCGCUCGUCUCUGCUUUAGUGAAACGCACACAGUCUCAAAGAGUCUAAAAAUCUAAAACUAGUUUUUAAUCUAGUAGCGACAUUCACCCAUGUACUAUACAACGCAAUUUCAUUUAUUAUCUAUUAAAUAUGAAUAGAAUUUAAUUCUGGUAAUAUUAGUUUUACUGUCAUAAUUAUUCCAAGUAGGUAAACAAAUUAGUCAGGUAUUAAAACCAUAAAUUAUAUUUUGUUUUUUUAACUGUGAUGAGUUAGUAUUAUAAAGUUCCCGUAUUGUAUGUAGUAGUAUGAAAAUAUUUAUAAGCCGAUUUAAAAUUAUAUUUUUCACUGCUAUUAUAGGUAAUGCUUCUAAUUUGUUCUCGUGUGUUCAAUUUAAUGUUAUUUAUCAUUCUUGUUGAUACUUUACUCUGCGCGUGGAGAGUUAUAGAAAUCGAUCUUUACAAUCAGUUUUUAUUUAGUGUUUACACACACUAUUAAAAGUUUUUUGGGAGCGGUUAGGGAAAGAAUAAACUUUUAUAGAUUGCUAUCGGAUUUAUUUGGAAAAAUGCAUUUUAGCUGCCUAAUAAAUUUAAUGCAUAGUUCAGUAGAGAGUACUUUCUUUAAAUUAGUAUCAUAACUUUGUGAAGAUAUUAGGAAGAUAGGUAAGAUUGAGUAAGAAGUAAAAGUAAGGAGCUAGAUUGAUUUACCAUAAUUAUUCUGCUAAUAAUAUAUCAUAUAAAAUCUUUUGAAUGAAAUAUUUUAAUGCCACUUCUAUAAAAUCGCUGCCGAAAUUACCUAACAGUUGAGUAACUGUUAGGUAAUUUCGGCAGCGAUUUUAUAGUAAACUUUUACUCCCUGACCGUUUCCUAUAAUAUUACAGCCUUUAUAAUAUCAUUCGCUUGCAAUGCUCUUGUCAGUACAGAAUUAUUACUAACCUUCGCUAUGCGAGAGUAAGGUAAAUGGAGAUAUGUGAAAGAUCGAUUACAUUCGUUAUUUAUUGGUAGAUAUAUAUAUAUAUAUAUAUAU